GCCCAGUGAUGAGAAUAAGGCAAAUAUGAGCUCAUUGAACGAGACUUGGGUUCUUCUUGCCUUUACUGGCAGGUAAUCUUGGCAGUGCAGAGGAGGAUUUCUGCUCUGCUGUAAGGGCCUGCCGACAGAGACCUAGCACAGCCAAAAUUAUUCCUCUACAGUUACUGUGGAGUAAUUGCUUGGGCUGAUGCUGACAGUGUGUGUGUGUUUCUUGUUUGUAUGUGUGCAGAAGGCAAAAAAGUUUACCCAGCUCUCUUUGCCGUUCUGUGAGCUAUGACUGUCGUCUUUGGUAAUCUGAGGGCA
rnacentral:snoRNA from 1 species